CCUCCUCCGCGGGAGCCGCGCGCGAAGCUCGAGCCGAAGAUGGCGGCGGAGAGCCUGUUCAACCGGCCCGUGUGUGUGCAAGUGCGGUGCCCGGGCUGCGAGGAGAGGAGGUUAAACGUUCGGGUGAAUAUUGAGCUACUGUCAAUUUCUAAUCCUGUUCAUAAAAAGGAUUUAGCUGUUCGAUUGACUGAUGAUACCGAUCCUUUUUUCCUUUAUAACCUUGUCAUAUCUGAGGAAGAUUUUCAAAGUUUAAAGUCCCAGCAGGGUCUCCUGGUGGACUUCUCUGCUUUCCCACAGAAAUUUAUCGAUCUGCUUCAGCAGUGCAUUCAGGAACAGAAUAAAGACAUCCCAAGGUUUUUGCUGCAGUUAGUUUCUUCAGCAUCUGUUCUAGAUCACACUCCUGUCUCUUUAAACGUAGUGGAGACAAACCCUUUUAAGCACCUCACCCACCUCUCUCUCAAAUUCCUACCAGGAAAUGAUGCAGAAAUAAAGAAGUUUUUAGCCAGCUGUUUGAAAUGCCUUAAGGAAGACAAACUGAUGUUGGAAGAAAAGCUUAGAAAAACUGAAGAGGAUCUUACCAGACAGCUGAGCUACACUCAACAGAGCUUGUCAGAGAGAAACCGGGAACUUGACAAACUGAAACAUGAGUGGACAUCCCAUACUACAGCUCUAACAAACAAACACACUCAGGAGCUGACAAAUGAAAAGGAGAGAGCUCUCCAGGCACAAGCUCAGUACCAACAACAGCAUGAGCAGCAGAAAAAGGAAUUGGAAAAUGUGCAUCAGAAAAGUAUUCAGCAGUUGCAGAACAGACUCUCGGAACUUGAGGUCAUCAAUAAGGAUCUAACAGAAAGGAGAUACAAAGGAGACUCCACAGUCAGAGAGCUGAAAGCAAAGCUUUCUGGAAUAGAAGAUGAAUGUCAAAGAGCAAAGCAGGAGGUGCUGUCGCUGCGUCGGGAGAACACUACUCUGGAUGCUGAGUGCCAUGAAAAAGAGAAACUCAUCAACCAGCUACAGACACGGGUUGCUGUUCUGGAACAGGAGAUCAAAGACAAAGAUCAGCUGGUGAUUAGAACAAAAGAAGUACUGGAUGCGACACAAGAACAAAAGGUGAUCCUGGAGGAGAGCACGGAGAAAAAACAAAGUCAUAUCGAAAAACUAGAGGCAACCAUUAAGUCGCUGUCAGCUGAACUGCUGAAGGCCAAUGAAAUUAUCAAGAAGUUACAGGGAGAUCUGAAAACUCUCCUGAGCAAAUUAAAGUUGAAGAACACGGUAACGAUUCAACAGGAAAAGCUCCUGGCGGAAAAAGAAGAGAGACUGCAGAAAGAGCAGAGGGAACUGCAGGAGGUGGGACAGUCUCUGCGGACAAAAGAGCAGGAGGUUUGCAAGCUGCAGGAGCAGCUGGAAACCACCAUGCAGAAGCUGGAGGAGAGUAAGCAGUUACUGAAAACCAAUGAGAACGUAAUCACAUGGUUAAACAAACAGCUGAAUGAAAUCCAGAUGACAAAGAAGCUGGAGACUUCUGCAAGUGCUCAUGCUGGUGUUAGGGCUGCCAUCUCACCUCAUGGCAUGGUAAGCACGAACGCCCGUCCUUUCCCAGCUCAGGAAUCGGUCAUCCCAUUUCUCCUCUAUAUGCCUUCCAGAACUUUCCAGAACCAGCACACACCAAAACCAUCAGUUCACAAUGUCCAGGACCGAAGAUCCAGCUCAACACCCAGCUGCCUAAAAUGAACCGAUGUUCAGAUGUGCAGACAGCGACUGCAACCAGUCACCCAGCAAACAAGGAGAAUGGUGACAAUUUGGGGCUGGAUUCAAAGUAUUUCAAGAAGAAAGAUGACAGCAUUCCUUUACGAGGGCUUAGUCAAAAUACACUCAACCCAGAGUAUCUGAAACCCUACUUGCCACCAAAAGCCACACCGUCGCUGAAAGCUGCAGCAACACCAGCCUCAGCUUAUUUUCCUGGAUAGCAGACAGGGUUCCUACAGUAAGAGUCCUCUCUUAACCCCUGGGGGAUUUCUGGAUGUGCUGUAAAAUAAGGUGUUAGUAAAGUAUCGGUGUGAACUGACAUGAUUUUAUAACUCUGAAUCUGUUUUGAGAAAGAUCCGUGUCUUGCCUGCCCCGUGUGACUUUGCAGGGUACUUGAGCCUAAAGGAAGGAUAAAGCUUUAAGCAGCUGCAGCCUUGGCAAGAACAACGCUGCAGCCAGGUCCCUGUGGCUGUGCAGCUUCCUCUUGGAGAGCCUGUAGCCUUCCUAAAACCCACCCAAGUGACUGAGCUUUUUAUCGUAGGCAUUGACGAGUGUGGCUUUGUAACAGGAGUGAGGACAUGCCGGCAUUCCCUGAGAGACCAGGUCUCUUGUGAGCAUUCCUCUUGACUCCUUUCGGAGAAAGGAUGAUGCAAAUGGAAGGUGCUGGGAACUGGGUGGUGCUGUCAAUGUUAAUAAUGGUCAAGCCCAUAAGUUAGGGUGACUGCUUUCAUCUAAAAAAACUUACUUGAAUUGCAUCCAGACUUACAGAUAAUGGAAUUAAUAUUAAAGAAAGAUGGACAAUUAAUUCAGGCGAUUGAAAAUUGUAAUCGAGGGUUCUCACUUUUGGUUAUCCUGACUUCUCGAUUGAGCUCAGGGCUCUGUUCCACUGUGCACAAAACAUAGGUGGUGAGCACAGGAGCAGUUAACCAGUGAGAGCAUCACAGCAAACACCUAAAAGCUACAUGACUUUUACUAAUCAUCCUUUACAACUGUAAGACACUGCAGGCGUUUAAGAUACUCUAACACUUGGGUUUAGAGGGACUGAGUCUGUUCAGCUUGUCCUGCUCCCUGGGUUCAAAGGCUCAGAUCAUGUAAGAACUUCAUUCUGUGCCAUCUCUUACUCAGUGUAAGGAUGCAAGUACUUGUACCAGACAAACCCCACUUUUUCUUAAUGGCUAUUUACAUACUUUUGUUGUUAAAGAUAUUUUGUACCUUUCACCUUAGUUAUUUAAGUGCAUCCAGAGGAUUGUGUAUUAUUUAAGUGGUUUGUUUUGCAGUGCAAAAUGUGUAUAUUUGUUUUUAAAUCAGCACCAUGGUCAUGGAUGGUCACUGGGUUUGGCAUGUGAAGGUUUCCAUGGAAAUAUUAAAUGGUUUUUAAUCAAA